rnacentral:lncRNA from 1 species
AGAGAACAACAUCGACGUGUGUUGCUCUUUGCUGCCGUCUUCACAAAGAAAGAUCUGAAAUACUCAAAUAUGGACCGUAAAAACAAUCAAGGAAAAUAAAGGCAUUAGACGGAAUUAUUUUCCCAUUCUUUCAGUUGGAAUGAUUGCAUAGAAUAUAUGCUAAUCGAAGUAAAAAAGAAAUAUUGCAUAAUAAAAACAUAAGCAUUGUCUUCACUUGUCACCACAAAACAUCAUGAAUGAUCCUUGCCACAAAUCCUCUACCAUCUCAAUAUUUGGCAUCUGAUCUUCACAUAUUAUUAUGUGCAAGGCUGAAACAUAAAUUCAAGGAAUUAUAUUGAGGACAUAGUAUCCCAAAUGAUUGUUGCUUUUUUUAAUCAAUUAUAGGGUAUCACUCGUUAUUUUUGAAUAUUUGGAGCAAUGCAAAGCAUGUAUUUUAUCUUGUCAUCUUCAUGUGUGCAAGAGCUUCAAUUUCAUGUGUGCGCUUAUAAUAAAGACAUGCUAUCGAGGGCCUUUGCCAGACAAUUGUUCUCCUUCUCUAAUAUGUGCUCCCUUUAAUAGUAGAGAAACUCUUUCAAUCUUCUCCUUUGCUCCCCUCUCCUCUCUUCUCUCGCGUAUUUAAGUACAAUUUUUUUUGAAAGCACAUAUCAAAGUAACACCCAUAUUACCUCCAAUCCAAGUUACAGUUUGUAAACCUCAAGAUAACAAUCUGAACUGUUACCAAAACUCGACUUACAAAAAGAAAAAAGAAAUACCGCAAGAGCAAUCAUAACAAUAUCAUGUAUGCUAGUGAAAUAAUGUACAGUAAUGAUGUUCUACACAAUAUCAUUAUCACAUAUAAGAGCAAAGGUACCGAACAUAACCAUGCAUCAAUAGGCCUUUCAUGCCAAUACUGUCACACAAUGAACAUGCUGAUUUUUUUUAGAACGAUGCCCUCACAUGUGUAUGGAAUUAUUUUUGUGGGGCAUAUGGACCUUCAAAAAUAUGCAAGACAUUUUUCUGGUUGGUCACAACCUUUUUGUUUCAGUUGGCUCCUAGUUUUAUUUUAAUGUAAAUGGAGUAUUAUUUUUACCAUAAAAGUUGUAGCAGAGAAUUUGUACUGUUUGUAAGAAGAAAAUAUUGACUCUGUGUUGAACUCAAUAUUUGCAUGACAAUCGAUAGUUGACUACCAAUCUCUUGUUAUGGGACACAAUAUGGGUUACUAAUUUUAAUGAUAGUAGGCAUGGUUCAACGCGGUCAUUUACUGAAAUAUCUGUACAUGGUUAACAAAAUUGAUUUGAAAUUAUGUAACAACAAAGGGCCUGCAACAACACCAAAUGACUGGUUGUCGAUCUAUGUGCAAGAACAUAAAAAAAUGAACAACAUGCACAAUAGCAGUACAAACCUCUGAUAAAAUUUCUAAACCACCCAAAUCAUUGUUUGUGUGUUACUCUUACGAAUAAUAUCA